rnacentral:rRNA from 1 species
AUACGGAGGAUCCGAGCGUUAUCCGGAUUUAUUGGGUUUAAAGGGUGCGCAGGCGGGAUGUUAAGUCGGCGGUGAAAUUUUGCAGCUCAACUGUAAAAGUGCCUUCGAUACUGGCCUCCUUGAGUGUGGAUGAAGUAGGCGGAAUUUGUGGUGUAGCGGUGAAAUGCUUAGAUAUCACGAGGAACUCCGAUUGCGCAGGCAGCUUACUAAGCCACAACUGACGCUCAUGCACGAAGGCGUGGGGAUCAAACAGGAUUAGAUACCCUGGUAGUCCACGCAGUAAACGAUGAUUACUGGUUGUUUGCGAUACAAUGCAAGCGACUGAGCGAAAGCGUUAAGUAAUCCACCUGGGGAGUACGUUCGCAAGAAUGAA